ACAGUACUCCAUCCGUUCGGAAUUACUUGUCGCGAAAAUGAAUGUAUCUAGACGUAUUUUAAUUUUAAAUACAUUUAUUUUCGAGACAAGUAAUUUCGAGCGAAGGAAGUACUAA
rnacentral:pre_miRNA from 1 species